AAAAUAAUUGAUGAAUAAAGGGUACUGCCUGCCCAGUGACGUUGUUAAACGGCCGCGGUAUUUUGACCGUGCAAAGGUAGCAUAAUCAUUUGCCUCUUAAAUAGAGGCUGGUAUGAAUGGCAAGACGGGAUUUAGCUGUCUCUUUCUUAUAUCUUAAAAUUAAUAUUUUUGUGAAGAAGCAAAAAUUAAUUCGUAGGACGAGAAGACCCUAUCGAGCUUUAAUGGGUAAUGGGUUCAGUAUUAUUAACCAGAUUAUGAAACUAAUUAUAAUGAAUUAGGAUUAAUUAAUUUUUAUUUUAUAAUCUGUUAGUAUAUGAAUUAGACAUUUUGAUUGGGGCAAUCAUGGAGAAGAAAAUCCUCCAUUAGUAAUAAUAAGGAAAGACAUUUUUAGUGUACAUAUUUUGUAGUUGAGUGAUCCACUUGAUAUAGUGAUCAAAGGAAUAAGUUACCGUAGGGAUAACAGCGUAAUUUUUUUAGAGAGUUCAUAUUGAUAAAAAAGUUUGCGACCUCGAUGUUGGAUCGGGAUUUCCAGGAGAUGCAGCAGUUUCCAAGGGUUGGUCUG
rnacentral:rRNA from 1 species